UACGACGGGUGCAAACGUUGCUCGGAAUUAUUGGGCGUAAAGCGCACGUAGGCGGCAUUGCAAGUCGGAUGUGAAAUCUUAUGGCUUAACCAUAAAAGUGCAUCCGAAACUGCAGUGCUUGAGUACUUAAGAGGAUCGCGGAAUUCCUGGUGUAGCGGUGAAAUGCGUAGAUAUCUGGAGGAACACCGGUGGCGAAGGCGGCAUCCUGGACCGGUAUUGACGCUGAGGCGCGAAAGCUAGGGGAGCAAACGGG
rnacentral:rRNA from 1 species